rnacentral:rRNA from 1 species
CCCAGACUCCUACGGGAGGCAGCAGUGGGGGAUAUUGCACAAUGGGGGGAACCCUGAUGCAGCGACGCCGCGUGGGUGAAGAAGCGCCUCGGCGCGUAAAGCCCUGUCAGCAGGGAAGAAAAUGACGGUACCUGAAGAAGAAGCCCCGGCUAACUACGUGCCAGCAGCCGCGGUAAUACGUAGGGGGCAAGCGUUAUCCGGAUUUACUGGGUGUAAAGGGGGCGCAGACGGCAGCGCAAGCCAGGAGUGAAAGCCCGGGGCCCAACCCCGGGACUGCUCUUGGAACUGCGCGGCUGAAGUGCAGGAGGGGCAGGCGGAAUUCCUGGUGUAGCGGUGAAAUGCGUAGAUAUCAGGAGGGACACCGGUGGCGAAGGCGGCCUGCUGGACUGCGACUGACGUUGAGGCCCGAAAGCGUGGGGAGCAAACAGGAUUAGAUACCCCAGUAAG